UAGAAAUGCUGGAAUUCUGAUCCCAGCCAGGGAUCUUCCGAGGGAGAAGAGCCAGGAGAAUGAGUUCACAAUAAGGCAGAAGAUGGUCUAGCGGAAGAAAUUGGCCACAAGGAAGGUGGAGGAAGGAAGAAGAGGAGAGGGAAGAGGAGGUCACCAUGAGGCUGGGCAUGAGGAGGAGUCAACAAGGAAGUUCUCCAUGAGGACAGACAUGGAGCAGAGCAAGUCAAGGAGAGACAAAAUAUAGGAGUGAGCGUCUGUCUUCAUGAAUGGGAUUAGUUUCCUUAUAACAGGACUUCUCAGCUGCCUUUCUGCCUUCCUCUAUGUGAGGAUUCAAUGUGGUAUCAUCUUGGAAGCAGAGAAUGGCUCUCAUUAGACUUCAUUGUUGGUGCUUUGAAAUGGGAGCUAUCCUCUAGAACUGUCCCCCCUGCUGACUUGAGCCUAGGCUGAGGCCUGUCUGCCACUGCUGUUGUUAACCUGACUUACAGAACUAGAUUGCUGACUGCUGGUGUAUCUGUAAAGUUUUUGUGAGUGGAUCCAGAUGCUGCAGCCUGCUAAACUGUGAACUGACCUGCUGAUUUCCAGAUAACACAGAUG
rnacentral:lncRNA from 1 species